AGAUAUACAUGUUAUGUACCGAUACUCGAACUCGUAGGACUAGACAUUACCAUCAUAAUUUGAAGAUAAGACUACGGCAUAACUAGAAGUUGUUUAGUUUUAGCCUUGCGUCGUUUGUCUAAUGUCUAUAGUACUUAAAACCAAUGAAGAUCAAUUAGUUACUUAGUUAAACAUACCAAUAAAAAAAAAAAACAUACCAAGAAAACCAUUUCGUGUUAGUUUCAGAUUGUUUCAUGACAAUUUUUAGUGUUCUUUCUCCAAAUCUGACUUUAAAUUAUUUGGCUUCGUUCUCAGGCUUCCAUAGUUUUUGAAAGGGUGGGCA
rnacentral:lncRNA from 1 species